rnacentral:piRNA from 1 species
UACAUUGCUUUCACAAGUGGAGUAUCUGGC